AUUGAACGCUGGCGGCAGGCCUAACACAUGCAAGUCGAACGGUAACAGGGAUCAGCUUGCUGAUUCGCUGACGAGUGGCGGACGGGUGAGUAAUGUCUGGGAAACUGCCUGAUGGAGGGGGAUAACUACUGGAAACGGUAGCUAAUACCGCAUAACGUCGCAAGACCAAAGAGGGGGACCUUCGGGCCUCUUGCCAUCGGAUGUGCCCAGAUGGGAUUAGCUAGUAGGCGGGGUAACGGCUCACCUAGGCGACGAUCCCUAGCUGGUCUGAGAGGAUGACCAGCCACACUGGAACUGAGACACGGUCCAGACUCCUACGGGAGGCAGCAGUGGGGAAUAUUGCACAAUGGGCGCAAGCCUGAUGCAGCCAUGCCGCGUGUAUGAAGAAGGCCUUCGGGUUGUAAAGUACUUUCAGCGGGGAGGAAGGGAGUAAAGUUAAUACCUUUGCUCAUUGACGUUACCCGCAGAAGAAGCACCGGCUAACUCCGUG
rnacentral:rRNA from 1 species